rnacentral:rRNA from 1 species
GUUGAUUAUAGCUCAGAUUGAACGCUGGCGGGAUGCUUUGCGUGCAGUCGGAACGGCAGCACGGACCCGGUCUGGUGGCGAGUGGCGAACGGGCAGGUAAUGUAUCGGAACGUGCUGUUAGCGGGGGAUAACUGCGGCGUAGCUGUACCACCUUACGCCCUUCGAGGAAAGCGGGGGACCUUCGGGCCUCGCACUGACAGAGCGGCCGAUAUCGGAUUGGCUAGUUGGUGGGGUAACAGCUCACUGGAAGGCGACAGAUCCGUAUGGCGGUUUGAGAGGACGACCAGCCACACUGGGACUGAGGCACGGCCCAGACUUACGGGAGGCAGCAGUGGGGAAUUUUGGACAAUGAGGGAAACCUGAUCCAGCCAUCCCAGUAUUGCGAUGAAGGCCUUCAGGUUGUAAAAAAGCACCUUUGGCAGGAAAACGGCACGGGAUAUGCCCCGUGCAACUGACAGUACCUGCAGAAUAAGCACCGGCUAACUACGUGCCAGCAGCCGCGGUAAUGAAACAGCAGGGUGCAAGCGUUAAUCAAAAUUACUGGGCGUAAAGCGUGCGCAGGUUCGGAAAGAAAAGUCAUGAAAUCCGAAGCUUAGCACAGUUGCAUUUUUUGCUGCCGAAACUGAGUGUGUCAGAGGAGGUGAAGAUUCCGCGUGUAGCAGUGAAGUAAAUGCGAAUAUGCGGAGGAACACCCGAUGGCGGCGGCCCUCCUGGAUAACACUGACGCUCAUGCACGAAAGCGUUGGGGAGCCGAGCAGGAUUGAAUGCCCUGGUGGUCCACGCCUGAAACAAUCAACUAGCUGUUGGAGCCUUCGGAGCCUUGGUAAUGCAAUAACGCGACGAGGAGUUGACCGCCUGAGAGUGAUCUCAAGAUUAAAACUCAAGGAAUUGACGAGGACUGCUGGCAGUGGAUGGUCAUGAUUCAGUUGGUACAGCGAAAAACCUUACCUACCCUUGACAUGUCUGGAAUCCCGAAGAGAUUUGGGAGUGCUCGCAGAGAACCGGAACUUACGAGUGCUGCAUGGCUGUCGUCAGCUCGUGUCUAACGAGAUGUUAGGUUAAGUCCACUAUAACAGGCGUAACCCUUGUCGUCGGUUGCUGCUGAAAAGGCACUCCUAACGAGACUGGUGACAAACCCGGAGGAAGAAUUGAGAUGACGUCGAGUCCUCGCGCAGCCUGUGGUGGGGCUUCACACGUCAUACAAUGGUGGGACGGAGAGGGUCGCCAACUCGCGAGGGGGAGCCAAUCCGAAACCCGAUCGUAGUCCGGAUCGCAGUCUGCAACUCGACUGCACCGUCAGUCAGAAUCGCCGUAAUCGCGGAUCGGCAUCUCAUCGCGGUGGAAUACGUUCCGGGUCUUGUACCACCGCCCGUCACACCAUGGGAGUGGGUUUUACCAGAAGUGAUUCUGGCUAACCGUAAGGAGGGCAGAGUUACCACAGUAGGAUUCAUGGCUGGGGUGAUCGCUAUCAGGUAG